UACGUAGGGACCAAGCGUUGUUCGGAUUUACUGGGCGUAAAGGGCGCGUAGGCGGCAAUUCAAGUCAUCUGUGAAAUCCCCGGGCUUAACCCGGAACGGUCAGGUGAUACUGUUUUGCUAGAGUGCGGAAGGGGCAAUCGGAAUUCUCGGUGUAGCGGUGAAAUGCGUAGAUAUCGAGAGGAACACCAGAGGUGAAGACGGGUUGCUGGGCCGACACUGACGCUGACAGCGCGAAAGCCAGGGGAGCAAACGGG
rnacentral:rRNA from 1 species